CCCCAGCUCUGGCCUUACUGCCUCCUGGCUAUUCCUUGGCUUGGACAGCCUCUUGUUUGCACAGAUCUGUUUGAAUUACUACUGAGUUACCAGUAGUUACCACGUUUCAGGACGCAGGGGCUCCACACUUGCUGUUCCCUCUACUGGGAAUGCUUUUCCCUGAAGGAUAAGCAAUGUCCCCCUCACUUUCUCCCAGCCUUGGCUCAGACAUCACAUCCUCAAAGUCGUCCCCCUGAUCACUCAAUUGUACACAUACACACACCACACACGCACCACACAAACACAACACACACAUACACACCACACACGCACUCACACCACACUCACACACCACACACACACAUACAUACCACACAUGCACUCACACCACACCACACAAACACACCACAUACAUACCACAGAUGCACUCACAUCACACCACACACACACACACACACACCACACAUACAUACCACACAUGCACUCACACACACUCACACACCACACACACACACCACACAUACAUACCACACAUGCACUCACACACACUCACACACCACACACACACACCACACACACGUACCACACACACUCACACCACACCACACACACACACCACAUACCUACAUACCACACACACUCACACACCACACACACACCACACAAACACAGCACACAUAUACAUACCACAGAUGCACUCACACCACACCACACACACACAUACCACACAUACAUACCACACAUGCACUCACACACUCACAUACCACACAGACACAUCACACAUACAUACCACACACACUCACACCACACCACACACUCACACCACACCACACACACUCACACCACACACACUCACACCACACCACACACACACACCACACACACUCAUACCACACCACACAUACAUACCACACAUGCACUCACACGCUCACACACCACACACACACACCACACACACUCACACCACACCACACAACACACACACACACCACACACCUACAUACCACACAUACACACACACCACACAAACACAGCACACACAUACAUACCACAGAUGCCCUCACACCACACCACACACACACACACACACACACACACACCACAGAUACAUACCACACACACAUACCCCGCACACACACACACCACACACAUACCCUGCACACACACACACCACACACUUACACACCACACACACAUGCCACAUACACACACACCACACACACACACACACCACACACACACUCACACACACACUAGAUACAUACCACAUACACACAGCACACACACACACACACCACACACUCCUUACACAUAUC
rnacentral:lncRNA from 1 species